rnacentral:rRNA from 1 species
UACGUAGGGUGCGAGCGUUGUCCGGAAUUACUGGGCGUAAAGAGCUCGUAGGCGGUUUGUCGCGUCGUCCGUGAAAACUUGGGGCUCAACCCCCAAGCUUGCGGGCGAUACGGGCAGACUGGAGUUCGGUAGGGGAGACUGGAAUUCCUGGUGUAGCGGUGAAAUGACGCAGAUAUCAGGAGGAACACCGGUGGCGAAGGCGGGUCUCUGGGCCGAUACUGACGCUGAGGAGCGAAAGCGUGGGGAGCGAACAGG